rnacentral:lncRNA from 1 species
CCUCAUCAAUGGCUGCUUCCCAAAUCCCCAAAACUAAUUGAUUCCUCAACAAAUCUCACCCUAUCAAAAGAAAAAGCUGAACAUAAUCAAAAUCAUAUUUGGGUAUGUUCCUGGAAGCACCGGUUGGGAGAAGGAUUCGACGGUUGGUGUGCUGGUGAUGGGUUCUAUUGGUUGUUAGAGCAUUCACAUCCAAAGAAUCAAAUUCUGUGUGGGGUGUUUUUAAAAUAUAAAAAUUAUAAAAAGUGGUUGUGAGUGGAGGAGAG